AUGCCUAAUUUGUGGUAGUGGGGGGGAGAUACCAUGAUCACGAAGGUGGUUUUCCCAGGGCGAGGCUUAUCCAUUGCACUCCGGAUGUGCUGACCCCUGCGAUUUCCCCAAAUGUGGGAAACUCGACUGCAUAAUUUGUGGUAGUGGGGGACUGCGUUCGCGCUUUCCCCUGGUUAUCUGGGUUCACCAAGAACAGGCGCAGCUUUUUUCUUUCUCUUCGUGUUGGCGCAGAAGUGGACUUCUGGGCGUUUGGUUGUCCACAGUUAAUGCCUACGGUGUCGGAACAGCAGUCUCGGCAGUGUUUGGGGUCACGAUCUCACAGUUUGUGAGGAUCCACCCACCAGUCUACCCCAUCGGCCUCCAACCUAGCCUGGUUCAGCCCCUUCUCACUUUAGAAGAAUGGGAUCAUUUUACAAACCAUCAGAAAAAGGCCCUGCUGGAGACCCUAACAGGGUAAAAAGUAAAGUUCUGUCUCCCCUACACCUUGAACCAGAGUGAAGCAUGAUGGAAGAACAGAAGAGGAAGGCAUGGGAGAAAACUAACUAAGGGGGAACAUCCCUAACGUUGAACAUAAGCAUAACUGAACCUAGCGAUCUGAGAUGAAUAGUGUAGCCACACUGGAAGAAAAAAAAAUAACCAACUGAAAUGACUUUUGGGCACAGUACAUCGACUAUAAACAUCUUCAAGUCCAAAGACAAGAACUGCAAACACAUACUGAACUGUCCCAUAGUAGGGACCCGAUCACCCAGGAACACACAACACUUCAAUCAUUUUGCUCCUAUCUGAAGAGGAUAUUUACCUUUACCUCCACUCGAUCUCCGGAAAGAAUCUUCUUGUACAGAAGAGGAAAAGACAAAUCCGGGCAGGCUGAAAGAGGCAGCCGAAGCCCACAGGAUGAAAACGUGAUAUUUCCGUUCAUUUGAUUUUCGGAGACCAUUCGACGCCCCUCCCCAGCCCACACAUCUACUCUUGAGAAUGGACGCCUUGUCCUGACUGACGCCCUCUGUUCAAAUUUUCCUUUCGUUGUCGCAAGAUUAGGUUACUACGUAAUCCGAAAGGUCAUACUGAGGAUUAAGACAAUUUCGUGUUAAAUUGGUGACAAAACUCUUA